UACGAAGGGUGCAAGCGUUAUCCGGAUUCAUUGGGUUUAAAGGGUGCGUAGGUGGGGCGUUAAGUCAGUGGUGAAAUCCUGCAGCUCAACUGUAGACUUGCCAUUGAUACUGGCGUUCUUGAGUGCGCUUGAAGUAGGCGGAAUGUGCCGUGUAGCGGUGAAAUGCUUAGCUAUGGCACAGAACACCAAUUGCGAAGGCAGCUUACUAAGGCGAUACUGACACUGAGGCACGAAAAGCGUGGGGAUCGAA
rnacentral:rRNA from 1 species